CUUUUAGAAAUUUAUUUAAUCCGAACGGCAU
rnacentral:sRNA from 1 species